CUGGGUUCGAAUCCCAGCGGUGCCUCAACCGAGCGUCUCGGCUCACUUUUUGCCCAUUUCCAACUUCACUCGGGGUCUCUACCCUACUUCUCCCCGUUUUGGGGGUGUGAAGGUGGUUCUGAGAAGUCCUUUUAGCCGACCAUGUCAUGCCGGCGGGAUGGACUCCCACCCUCUCUGGAGUCUGCCCCUCAGGUAUCUGAGAGCUGCAGCACGUCUUCCACUUCGGCAGCUGACCAGAGUGGACACCCCUAGGGGGCAUCGCGGGACUCCCGGUUGCAGCUGCUUUCGCUGCCACAAUUUCACAGACUGAAGACCGGGGCAUAGAGAGGUCAAAUGAAGCCCAAAGUCAGGGGGCGGCUGCAAGAGGGGAGGAUUGAAUUCGGCCAACGUGUCCCCAAGGCUGACCAAAGACCCAGUCUGGAAUCCCGUGUUGCCGUCUUCAUAUCUCCUUAGUCUCCUCAGUAGGUGACACUUCCUCAGUCUUCAUGACUUUGCCUUUUAGGACUGGAACACUUUUGAAGAGGACUUGUCAGGUGUUUUGUGGAGGACUGCAAGCAAUUCAAGAUGGUAUUUGAGCCAUUGUAGUCCAGAGUGAGAUGACCACUGCCCAGGACACAGCUAAAGAUCACCACCCAGGAAGCUAUGAAUAAGCAAUUCACAAAGGAAGAAAAGCAAAUAUCCAAUAAACAUGAAAAGAUGUUCAAUCGAAUAAAUGCAGACUGAAGCAAUGAGAUAUUUUUCCUCCAGUCACGUACAAUCUGGCAAUGAGCUGCAGUGUUUUAACUGCUCCCUGUGGCUCAGAAACCAGACCUCUAGGCACUCAACUUAAAGACCUGGCUGAUCCUUUGUGAUGAUGAAGACUGAGGCCAUUCACUGAAUGAAGCUUGCUCAGGACAGAGAUGGGAAAUGACCU